rnacentral:tRNA from 1 species
GGAGGCGGAAUGGGGCCGGUGCCCCUCCUGGUCUUCAAAACCAGCGUCCCGGCCAAAAGCUGGGAGGUGGGUUCGACUCCCACACGCCUCCGCCA